GCAUAUCAAUAAGCGGAGGAAAAGAAACUAACUAGGAUUCCCUUAGUAACGGCGAGUGAACCGGGAUGAGCUCAAAUUUGAAAUCUGGCGUCUUUCAGGCGUCCGAGUUGUAAUCUAUAGAGGCGUUUUCCGCGCCGGACCGCGUCCAAGUCUCUUGGAAUAGAGUAUCAAAGAGGGUGACAAUCCCGUACUUGACGCGACAACCGGUGCUCUGUGAUACGUUCUCAACGAGUCGAGUUGUUUGGGAAUGCAGCUCUAAAUGGGUGGUAAAUUCCAUCUAAGGCUAAAUAUUGGCGAGAGACCGAUAGCGAACAAGUACCGUGAGGGAAAGAUGAAAAGCACUUUGGAAAGAGAGUUAAACAGCACGUGAAAUUGUUAAAAGGGAAACGAUUGAAGUCAGUCGUGUGAAAGGUAUUCAGCCGUCUCUGGCGGUGUAUUUGCCUUUCACGGGUCAACAUCAGUUUAGUCCGGUAGAAAAAGGCUGGAGGAAGGUGGCACCCUCGGGUGUGUUAUAGCCUCCUGUCACAUGUGCCGGAUUAGACUGAGGAACGCAGCUUGCCGCAAGGCCGGGGUUCGCCCACGUACAAGCUUAGGUAUGUUGCACAAAAG
rnacentral:rRNA from 1 species